rnacentral:rRNA from 1 species
UACCAGCACCCCGAGUGGUCGGGACGAUUAUUGGGCCUAAAGCAUCCGUAGCCGGUUUACAAGUCCCCCGUUAAAUCCAACUGCUUAACAGAUGGGCCGCGGAGGAUACUAUAGAGCUAGGAGGCGGGAGAGGCAAGCGGUACUAGUGGGUAGGGGUAAAAUCCGUUGAUCCAUUGAAGACCACCAGUGGCAAAGGCGGCUGCC